UUCCCGGCCCGCAGGUGGCGCUGCUGCGCCGGGCCCGCGCCCGGGCUGAGGCGGGCGCGCCGCUCGCCUUUUGCCUCAGAGAGCACCAAUAUGAACAAAAGCGAGAUAAGUUUUCACUGACGAACAAUCUUUUGCGGAAAAGAAACAAACAGGUAGCCAGGCGCGGUGGCAGCCUUUCCUCCACAGGAGCGGCGUGUGGCCUCCCGGACGGCACCGCCGGGUGUGGGAAGCACGGGCUUUUCCCCGCGGGUUGUGGCUUCGGGUCGGGACACACCUGAGGAGGGGUCGGGGCAGCGGCGCAUGACAUAGGUGACACGAAGUUAAGACAGACACACAUCACAGCCGUGACUUUUGUCUCUGCUAACGUGAGGAGGAUGAAAGGUCCCUGAGGAGGACGUGGAGAAGGAGAUCUGCUGCUGCCUCCCCACCAAUUUCUGCUGAGGAGCACCGUGGCACCCGUCUGUCAGAGCGACAGUGCUCAGUGCGAGGGGGACACGCCAGCCAACAGCCACGCUCAGCUGCCUGCUGUGUGUUUGUCAGAUAGGGAUUGAACUGAGGAAGGGUCUUGGAGUUCAAACGCCUUCCCUGCUGCAGCGAGGUGGAGCAUGGCACAGGAUGCAGCUUAUCACAGAUAGCAGCUGUGUGUAUCAGGGGUCUCCGCUUCCCUCUCCCAUGCUGUUUGCUCGGCUCCCUGCCUCUCCCGUGCACGCUGUGUGAGAGGCUGGGGUAGGGGAUGGCUUUCAGACCCAUUAACAGCUUUCCAGACAGCUAAAGUCAGUGUCACGGGGCACAUCCUGCUGAUUCAGCAGCAGAGGGCAGUUCCUAUCUCAGGGGGAAGGAGAAUAAAAAAUAAAUAAAUCUGCUUUGCCUCAGGA